rnacentral:lncRNA from 1 species
CUUCUUAUCUGCUUUUGUUAACAAAGUUUGGGAAGAUUUUUAAAGAUCCCUGCUUACAUACUUCGGCUCUUGCGAUCUCUCUGCUAUUGUUUUCCCGAUGAUUAAAAAAAAUGCCCUCUCUGUUAUUUUCGGCUUAACAUUCCUUGCGGUUGGUUGGGUGAGUAUUUUUUGUCAGUCAUUUAUUCUUGCCAAAAAGAAAUUAC